rnacentral:rRNA from 1 species
AGCACUACAACAGGUGGAGCCUGCGGUUUAAUCGGACUCAACGCCGGGAAACUCACCAGAUAAGACAGCUGAAUGAUAGUCGGGCUGAAGACUCUACUUGACUAGCUGAGAGGAGGUGCAUGGCCGUCGUCAGUUCGUACUGUGAAGCAUCCUGUUAAGUCAGGCAACGAGCGAGACCCACGCCAACAGUUGCCAGCUCGUCCUCCGGGAUGGUGGGGACACUGUUGGGACCGCCUCUGCUAAAGAGGAGGGAGGAAUGGGCAACGGUAGGUCAGCAUGCCCCGAAUUAUCUGGGCUACACGCGGGCUACAAUGGGUGGGACAAUGGGUAUCGACACCGAAAGGUGAAGGCAAUCUCCUAAACCCAUCCGUAGUUCGGAUUGUGGGCUGCAACUCGCCCACAUGAAGCUGGAAUCUGUAGUAAUCGCGUUUCAACAGAACGCGGUGAAUACGUCCCUGCUCCUU